rnacentral:rRNA from 1 species
GACCUUGCUUUUUUGGAGUACUUGUACAAAGAAAAAGCGCUGGUUAGUGGCGGACGGGUGAGUAACACGUGGGUAAUUAACCUUCUAGACUGGGAUAACAACGGGAAACUGGUGCUAAUACCGGAUAAGAUUCAUGAGCGGCAUCGCUUAUGGAUGAAAAGAGGCCUCUCCAUGGAAGCUCCUGCUAGAAGACAAGCCCGCGGCUGAUUAGCUAGUUGGUGAGGUAAUGGCUCACCAAGGCAACGAUCAGUAGCCGGCCUGAGAGGGUGAACGGCCACACUGGGACUGAGACACGGCCCAGACUCCUGCGGGAGGCAGCAGUGGGGAAUAUUGCGCAAUGGGGGAAACCCUGACGCAGCAACGCCGCGUGAAUGAAGAAGGCCUUCGGGUUGUAAAGUUCUGUCAAUUGGGAAGAAACCUCCAAGGUAAAUAGUCUUGGAGAUGACGGUACCUAAAAAGGAAGCUCCGGCUAACUACGUGCCAGCAGCCGCGGUAAUACGUAGGGAGCAAGCGUUAUCCGGAAUUACUGGGCGUAAAGGGCGUGUAGGCGGCCAAUUAAGCUAGGUGUAA